GCCCUGGUUAGCUUGGUGGGUAGCGCGACUGCCUUAUAAGCGAUAGGUCGCGGGUUCGAUUCGCGCCCAGGGCG
rfam:Asian citrus Psyllid, Diaphorina citri - Florida Strain, whole genome shotgun sequence.